AGAGUUUGAUCAUGGCUCAGGACGAACGCUGGCGGCGUGCCUAACACAUGCAAGCCAAGGGGAAAGCAGUCUUCGGAUUGUGAUUAUACUGGCGGACGGGUGAGUAACGCGUAGGUAAUCUGCCUCUAUGACUGGGAUAACACCUGGAAACGGGUGCUAAUACCGGAUGUGGUCAGGGCUCCUCAUGGAACCUUGAUUAAAGCUGGUUUCGGCUAGCACAUAGAGAUGAGCCUGCGUCCCAUUAGUUAGUUGGUAAGGUAACGGCUUACCAAGGCGACGAUGGGUAGCUGGUCUGAGAGGAUGAUCAGCCACACUGGGACUGAGAUACGGCCCAGACUCCUACGGGAGGCAGCAGUGGGGAAUAUUGCGCAAUGCCUGAAAGGGUGACGCAGCGACGCCGCGUGGGUGAAGAAGCACUACGGUGUGUAAAGCCCUGUCAGAAGGGAAGAAAAACCAGUUUUCGAAAGGGAUCUGGCCUGACGGUACCUUCAGAGGAAGCUCCGGCUAACUCCGUGCCAGCAGCCGCGGUAACACGGGGGGAGCAAGCGUUGUCCGGAAUCACUGGGCGUAAAGGGCGUGUAGGCGGGUUGGUAAGUCAGAUGUGAAAGCCCACGGCUCAACCGUGGAUGUGCAUCUGAUACUGCUGACCUUGAGUGCGA
rnacentral:rRNA from 1 species